CCAGUAUUGAAAUUGAUCCGGCUGAGA
rnacentral:sRNA from 1 species